CCAGUUCUUCCACACAGUCAUGCAAUAGUUGAUUUUCAUCAGUGAGAGCUGCUUCAGUUAUAUUUAGCCGGUUCAAGGCCAUCAUCAGUGGCCAUGCCACUAUAGAGGCAGCUAAGUCGUUCUUGAGUAAUCAUAAGUGGAAAUCCCAUUUAGUAUUGAAUUCCUUUAUAUAUAAAGAGCUGUACAAUUGCUUCAAUUUUAACACCAAUUGCUGUGUUUUGGCGUGACUGCAGUUCAAAUGAAAUGCCUGUAGGUGAGCCAUGCUGGUGACAGAAAAUAGUCUCUUGGCCAAAGCUGACAUUCACAGAGAGAAGCUCAUCUUGCACCUGGGACUUCCUCCCAAUUUGGCAUCAUCUGCAAACUUACUCAGGGUGCAUUAAAUCCCCUUGUCUAAAUCAACAGUAAAGACAUUAACCAGUGCUGGCCCCAAUACUGACCCCCGAGGAACACCACUUGUGACAGAUCACCAGCUGGAUUUAACUCUGUUCAACACUACUCUAUGUGUCCAGCCAGCCAAACAGAUUUUACCCAGUGAAGAAUACACCUGUCCAAGCCACGGACUGCUUCUCUCCAGGAAGAAUAGUGUGAGAGACGGAGGCUUUACUAAAGUCAAGGUAGAUUCCACAGAUUCCUGUCAUCCACUUAGGAGGGUGAUGUGGUCAUAGAAGGAGAUCAAGCUGGUCAAGGAAGACCUGCCUUUCACAAAUCAACUUUGGAUGGGCAUGAUCCCCUUGUUAUCUGGUACAUGCCAUGUGGUCAGACUCCAAAUGUUCCACUCCACAACCUUCAAAAAUACCAAAGUCAGACUUAUAGCACUAUCCUGUAGUUCCCCAGAUACUCCUUCUGACCCUUCUUGUGAAUGGAUCUCAUUCUGGGAAAUCUCCAGUCAUCAGGGACCUCCCAUUUGACUAGGACUGCUGAUAAAUGAUGUAAAGUCGGUAGCAAUUACUUCUGCCAGCUCUCUCUGUAUGCUUGGUGGAUCCCAUCCAGACCAAUUGACCAGUGAUAGUGCAGAAAGAACAGCAGGUCAUUGUGUUCUCUUGAAUCAUGGAGGGUUUCUUUUGUUCUCAUUCACUGUCUUCCUGGUCAGAUGGCUGAGUACCCUGAUGAUAACUGGCAAGACUAUUAAAA
ensembl:lncRNA